rnacentral:rRNA from 1 species
UACAGAGGUCUCAAGCGUUAUUCGGAUUCACUGGGCGUAAAGGGUGCGCAGGCGGCCAAGUGUGUGAGGCGUGAAAGCCUGGAGCUUAACUCCAGAAUUGCACCUCAAACUACAUGGCUAGAGCAUUGGAGAGGGUAGCAGAAUUCAUGGUGUAGCAGUGAAAAUGCGUAGAUAUCAUGAGGAAUACCAGAGGCGAAGGCGGCUACCUGGACAAUUGCUGACGCUCAGGCACGAAAAGCGUGGGGGAGCAAAAAAGGG